rnacentral:tRNA from 4 species
GACUGAGUAGCUCAGCUGGUAGAGCAACGCCCUUUUAAGGCGUGGGUCCUGGGUUCGAGCCCCAGCUCAGUCAC